AGUUUUAUUCUUGCUAAAAUAUUUAUUUUUUGGAUAUUUUUACAUGUAAAUUCUUGUGUGGAUAAAUUAUUUCUUAAUGAUUAAUUAGUUUAAUCGCAGUAUGUGAUAUUAAUGAUCAAAGGAAUUUGGAAUUAGUAAUUUGAAGUGUGAUUGGUUAAAGUCGUGCCAGCUACCGCGGUUAUACGAAAGAUAGAAAUAAAUGUUAUUGGUUGGGAGUUAAUUUAUUAAUUAUUAAGAUGUUUUGAAAUUUUAGAAGGUAGAAUUACUAAAUUUUGUGACAUUUUAAAUUUAAAAAAUGAAACUUUGAAAAUUAAAGUAGAGACUAGGAUUAGAUACCCUAUUAUUUUAAUUGUAAAAAUUUAAGGCUUGAGUAGUAUUAGUUAAGAACUUGAAACUCAAAGAAUUUGGCGGUGUUUUAGUCUUUUCAGAGGAAUCUGUUCUGUAAUUGAUAAUACACAUUAUAUUUUACUUGAUUUUGUAGAAUCAGCUUGUAUACCGCCGUUAUAAGAUUAUCUUUUUAGAGAUAAAAUUUUCUGGAAAUUAUUGUUGAAUUAUAUUUCAGGUCAAGGUGCAGCUAAUAAUUAAGAGUGAAAUGGAUUACAAUAAAUAUAUUUAAACGGAAUUUUUAUUGAAAAAUAAGAAGGAAGGUGGAUUUGAAAGUAAUUUUGUUAUAUUAUGAUAAAGUGAUUUAAGCUCUAAAACAUGUACACAUCGCCCGUCGCUCUCAUUAGUAAAGUGAGAUAAGUCGUAACAUAGUAGUUGUACUGGAAAGUGUAGCUAGGAAGU
rnacentral:ncRNA from 1 species